GUGCCAGCAGCCGCGGUAAUACGGAGGAUGCGAGCGUUAUCCGGAUUUAUUGGGUUUAAAGGGUGCGUAGGCGGACCGAUAAGUCAGUGGUGAAAACCUGCAGCUUAACUGUAGACGUGCCAUUGAUACUGUCGGACUUGAGUGUGGUCAAGGUAGGCGGAAUGUGUAAUGUAGCGGUGAAAUGCUUAGAUAUUACACAGAACACCGAUUGCGAAGGCAGCUUGCUGGACCAUUACUGACGCUGAUGCACGAAAGCGUGGGGAGCGAACAGGAUUAGAUACCCCCGUAGUCC
rnacentral:rRNA from 1 species